rnacentral:rRNA from 1 species
AGCGAACGCUGGCGGCAGGCCUAACACAUGCAAGUCGAACGAACCUUUCGGGGUUAGUGGCGGACGGGUGAGUAACACGUGGGAACGUGCCUUUAGGUUCGGAAUAACUCAGGGAAACUUGUGCUAAUACCGAAUGUGCCCUUCGGGGGAAAGAUUUAUCGCCUUUAGAGCGGCCCGCGUCUGAUUAGCUAGUUGGUUGAGGUAAUGGCUCACCAAGGCGACGAUCAGUAGCUGGUCUGAGAGGAUGAUCAGCCACAUUGGGACUGAGACACGGCCCAAACUCCUACGGGAGGCAGCAGGGGGGAAUCUUGCGCAAUGGGCGAAAGCCUGACGCAGCCAUGUCGCGUGAAUGAUGAAGGUCUUAGGAUUGUAAAAUUCUUUCACCGGGGACGAUAAUGACGGUACCCAGAGAAGAAGCCCCGGCUAACUUCGU